CGUGUAGGCGGUUCGGUAGGUCCGUUGUGAAAACUCGAGGCUCAACCUCGAGACGCCGAUGGAAACCAUCGAACUAGAGUCCGGAAGAGGAGAGUGGAAUUCCUGGUGUAGCGGUGAAAUGCGCAGAUAUCAGGAAGAACACCCGUGGCUAAGGCGGCUCUCUAGUACGGUACUGACGCUGAGACGCGAAAGCGUGGGGAGCGAACA
rnacentral:rRNA from 1 species